rnacentral:rRNA from 1 species
CCUGAGAAACCCAAAAGAUCGAUUGGGGAGAUUCAUCGUCAGCUCAUUUUGUAUAUAUGCAAGUUAUGAUAUGGGUUACUACUUGUAGUAUUGCCUAUACAUUCUUGUAUAUUUCUUUGCAAGAUGUUGUCGGCGUGCACUUCUCCCCUAGUAGGACGUCGCGACCCGUUGAGUAUCAAUCUACGGCCCAGGUGGAAGAUUUUAAUGAAUUUUUUAAAUUUUAUUAAAAACCCUUGGUGUUUCCUGAUUGAUAUUCGUCGGUAAUCAUAUGGUAUUGAGCCGCAAAUUUUUGCGUCCAUAUCCAUCACAAGCGCGUAUUAAUUACUAAUAGUACGGACUUAGUGCUGUCGUUGGUAUUAAUCAGCUGUUGGUUGUAUGGAAUUCUAGGACUGGCUUAUUUAUAUUUAAUACUGGUCAGCGAUGCUACUGCUUUGGGUACUUUCAGGACCCGUCUUGAAACACGGACCAAGGAGUCUAACAUGUACGCGAGUCAUUGGGAUAUUUAAAAAAUUAAACCUAAAGGCGUAAUGAAAGUAAAGGUCGAUCUUGUAUUGACUAAGGGAGGAUAAAUUAAAUUUUUAAAAUUUAUUUUCGCACUCCUGGGGCGUCUCAUUCUCAUUAUGAGAAGARGCGCACCUAG